AUGACAAGGGCUCUUUGUGUAAGACAGGCUGGUUCAAAUUCUUGAUCUUCCUGUUUCUGCUUCCUGGGUGUUGGGAAUACAGGGAAAGAAUGAAUUAAAAUGAAGCAAACAGCAGCAACAACUAGGCUUAUACAGCACACGUUCUAAAUGAUCAGCUCUUAAACGGUUAAAUGUGGAAGAAGUUUUAUGAUGCCAGAAGAGACAACUGGAGCUCCUGGAACUCCAGGAUUGUGAUUGUUGAUGUCUCAUGGGUUCUGGGAACCUAGCUCAGGUCUUGCAAGAACAACAAGCUCUCUCAUCCGCUGAGCCAUCACUUCAGCCCCAGCUAAAGCAUCUUAAACCUCUAGUCCCUUAUCGCUGUCUUGGUACUUGCUGUUUAUUGUUUUUCCAUUGCAUCAGACCCCUGUGGCCUUCAGUCCUAGCAACUCUACCAAUUUCUAGUCUAAAAAACAUUGUACCUUGUUUCAGUUUGUCUUUAACAGUAACAUUGGCGAAUUUCCCUCUGAGCGGCUGCCACUUAUACAUAAGCACAUCCAGUGGGGCAUUAUUCCUUCCUAGGAAUAGUCGUGCAUUCAUUUGUUAUUUAUUGAGCGCCUGCUGUAAGGAUGUGGACAUUUCUUGCUCUCAGAAUACUCAUAAUCAAGUUAUUGAGACAAACAAGUUCAAUACAUUCUGACCUGAGAAAAUACUUAAAAGGUCCAGGGUCAAGAAGCCGUUUAGUCGGUAAUGGAGACUGAAAUAAUCCUGUCUUGCUGAAGCAUCGAGUAAAGAGGUGCAGGAUGAGCACUAAGAGGAUCACACUAGAUGGGUGAGUACACAUCACUUCCCAUCGCCAUCCUUAGGGCUAAGAAGGCUGGGCUCUGAUCCCCGAGGAUGACAGGAAACCAAGGUGAGCUGUAAAUGCACAGUGAGAUGCGUAGCCGCGUGGUUUUGCACAUGAUGGACGGAAAGUACUACAGAGGGGCGUGCUUUAUUUCAGAUGUGACAUGUUCUCCAAAAGGCUCACGUGUUGAAAGUUCAGUCCUCACCUAGUAAAUCCAAUCACUGAGAGGUUAUUGGAUCAUAAGGACUCUGACUUAAUCAAUACGUUAAACCCUUGAUGGAUUCAUAAUUCGAUAUGGCUAUUGGGGAAUAGUAGAAACUGUAGGAAGUGGGGUCUGGCUAACGUAGGCCACAGGGUGUGUUUUGAAGGGCAGAUCUUGUGUCUGUCUCUCCUU